ACAUGGAGGACUAAACACGAUGCCUAUUGGUUCCUUCUGUGGGGAGGAGUCAAUGUAAAACUCUGAUGUUCUUCGCCUCUACUUAUGUGACUGCAGAGAGGACGACAGAGAACAGCAGACCCACAGUUUAACAUGAUGGACUAUAGGACAGGACUGUUGUUUUUAACUGUCUUCUGGACAGGUGUUGAUGGUCAGACUCUGACAGAAUCUGGAUCUGCAGUAAAAAGUCCUGGAGAAUCCCACAGACUGACCUGUACAACAUCUGGAUUCACAUUCAGUAGCCACUGGAUGCACUGGGUCAGACAGGCUCCUGGAAAAGGACUAGAGUGGAUCGCUGCUGUUGACUAUGGUGGUAGUAGCAAAUACUAUUCCCAGUCAGUCCAAGGCCGUUUCACCAUCUCCAGAGACAAUGGCAGGAACCAGCUGUAUCUGCAGAUGAACAGUCUGAAAACUGAAGAUUCUGCUGUUUAUUAUUGUGCUCGUGAUCCACAGCAUCUGGAGUUAGUGAAGCAGCUGUACAAAAUCCUCAAAAACGAUAGUGUAGUAGUUACUUUAUAUAAACACUAG